UUCCAAAUCAGCCAGGCCGCCCGCGCCUCCGUGACUUCCGCGCGCGAAAAUCAGUCCCCGGCUCCCCUCGAAUCCAAAUCAGCCCCCGCGCGCGCCAAAAUCGAUCCCCCGCGCGUCUUAUCUAUAGCGCAGCGCCGCAGCCUGCCCAUUCUCCAUUCCUCUCCAUCCAAAAUUGCCCACGGGCGAGACAGGCCCCCCGCACCGCACCAAAUCGGCGGCGGCGGCGCGACGGUGCCCCGUUGCGGCUGCUCCUAUCGUCGCUCUACUCGGCGAUCGCCGGUCAGCACUGCGAAGCUCCACCUCCCACUCCCAGGGCCACGACUGCAGGCGGCGGCAGCAGCUCCACUCCCACAGCAACGGUUCUUCCCACGGAGGCAGUUAAGAUCUGCAAGUCUGCAACUUGCAUGUGAUGGAUCUAUCCAGGAUGGAGGCGCUCGUUUGCAACUCUGCAACUGUGGUACAUAGCUUUCUAAGGUCUCAUAUUUAUUUUGCAAGUCAUAUUUGUGGUUGUUCUAUACUAGGAUUACUGUCACAUAGCCAUGACAUUGGUCUAUUUGUGUCUAUUUGUGCUUGUUAUGCUGAGAUCGGGACCAAGUCUCCAACUACAAGAACUCCAGACACCAAAACCCCCAAAGUCAGAUCCAGGAAGCUGAAAACUUCGCAAGUGUGGAAGCAUUUCACUGAAAGAAGCUGAUCACUUUGACAUCUUGAGCUGGUGGAAGACACAUGGUGUAAAAUAUCCUAUCCUUGCUCGAGUUGCAAGGGAUGUGUUUGGCUAUUCCUGCAACCACAGUAGCAUCUGAAUCAGCCUUUUGUUCUGGAGGAAGAAUUGUUCAUAAAUAUUGUAGUCGUUUGGACCCUCAAGCUGUGGAGGCACUAAUCUGCAGCAAGGAUUGGAUAAGAGCGGCACGAAUUGAUCAAAGUAAUGUAUCUUCAAUUCUUGAUGAUUUUGUUGGCCUUGGUGUUGAUGAUAUAGCUGGAGAAGAAGAAGGUGCUCCUGCUGAUGCUGGACAUCAAAGUGGCAGGGUGGAUUUGUCAGAUAACUAGGCUGUUGAGAGUGAAGACGUGUUGGCUGCUGCUGCCAUUUCAAAAAUCUAAGCUAUUGCUAGCUGUUAUGAACUAUCAACUGUGAGACUGCUAUUUAUGCCUUGCUGCUUGCUGUGUGAACUUGUGAGUUGUGAGAGCAGAGCCUUUUAUCUUAUAUGCGCUAAGUUUUGCUUGCUGAACUGCUAUGGCAAACCUAUCCAUAAAAAGAUAAGUUAAAGUGUGGGAUACUAGCACUGACUUGCAAUUUUUUGGUGCAUGCAUGAACAUGCUUCAACUUUUUUGGUGAUUUGUUGCAGUGGCUUGCAAUUUUUUGGUGUAUGCAUGAA